rnacentral:SRP_RNA from 2 species
GCCGGGCGUGGUGGUGCACACCUGUAAUCCCAGCUACUUGGGAGGCUGAGACAGGAGAAUUGCUUGAACCCGGGAAGCGGAGGCUGCAGUGAGGUGAGAUCACGCCACUGCACUCCAGCCUGGGCAACACAGCAAGACUCCGUCUCAA